AAAACUUCUUGGACAGCAAGAGGAAGAAAGAAGAAAGAAGUAGAAGAAGAAGAGAGGGGAAGAGAGGGAAAUCCAAGUAGAGAUUGUGGCUCUUAGGAUCUUGUUAGAGGACUCAGCAACAAGGAGUUCCAGUUAAUUGUGAGGGAAUAAGUUCAGCACCUGGAAAAGUGGGAACUGAUUCAGAUUUUCCAGAUGAGGAGAGUAGUCACCUACAGGCUACUAGUACUGAGCAUGACCUAUGGUUAUGGAUCAGUUGGCAUGUAUUCCAAAUUUUGAUGAUUUCAGUCAUGGACCUGAUUGCGAAUGCGAUGAUUGUGUAUAUGGUGGACAGCUUAAUUAAGAUGUGAUAUUAUGAGUCUUUUUGUGUAUAUAUGAGGAUGAAGGUAGAGGUCAGGUUUUGAUGGUUGACAGGUGGAAGGAUUCUUUUUGUGUACACACAUUUUGAUACUUGGGUUUAUGUAAUAUAAUGGAUCACUGUAAGUAAA